GUGCCAGCAGCCGCGGUAAUUCCAGCUCCAAUAGCGUAUAUUAAAGUUGUUGUGGUUAAAAAGCUCGUAGUUGGAUCUCGGCGGUCUGAGGGCGGUUCGCUUCAGAGCGCUACUGCCCUAUAGACCGUAGUUUUGCCAGAGGUCUCAGGGUGCUCUUAACCGAGUGUCUUGCGAUGCUGGCAGGUUUACUUUGAAAAAAUUAGAGUGCUCAAAGCAGGCUUUUACGCCUGAAUAUUCGUGCAUGGAAUAAUAGAAUAGGAAGUCGUUUCUAUUUUGUUGGUUUUCGGAAAUCGACUUAAUGAUUAAUAGGGACAGUCGGGGGCAUUUGUAUUCAAACGACAGAGGUGAAAUUCUUGGACCGUUUGAAGACAAACUACUGCGAAAGCAUUUGCCAAGAAUGUUUUCAUUAAUCAAGAACGAAAGUUAGAGGUUCGAAGGCGAUUAGAUACCGCCCUAGUUCUAACCAUAAACGAUGCCAGCUAGCGAUCUGCCGACGUUUUUUUUGUAGACUCGGCAGGAAGCUUCCGGGAAACCAAAGCAUUUGGGUUCCAGGGGAAGUAUGGUUGCAAAGCUGAAACUUAAAGGAAUUGACGGAAGGGCACCACCAGGAGUGGAGCCUGUGGCUUAAUUUGACUCAACACGGGAAAUCUCACCAGGCCCGGACACUGGAAGGAUUGACAGAUUGAUAGCUCUUUCUUGAUUCGGUGGGUGGUGGUGCAUGGCCGUUCUUAGUUGGUGGAGUGAUUUGUCUGGUUAAUUCCGAUAACGAACGAGACUCUGUCCUGCUAAAUAGUGUCCGCCUCUCUUUUGGGCGGACAAUUCUUCUUAGAGGGACUGGCGACUCUUAGUCGCACGAGAUUGAGCAAUAACAGGUCUGUGAUGCCCA
rnacentral:rRNA from 1 species